UAAUGCACAUAAUUUUAUUAAGUACUUUUAUACAACAUUCAAAUAGCGAUUGACAGUGUCAUCUGCCAUUUUCAUAAUAGAUAAGACAGGCUUGAUCAAAAUCUAAAGUUCCUGUAGUGACAGCAUUGUUACAGAAACAGAUAUUAUAAGACUUCUACAGCUGCAUGUCCCAUCUCUUGUUUCACGCACGAGACACUGCAGAUCUUUAGAUAAAAGUCGAAAUCUCGCUUCCAUCAACAAAAUAUCGAAUUCCGCAUCUGCAGCCGAACCCGCGACCACUAUACGGAAGCGAUUGGCGCCAGCUGCCGAUCAAGUAUCGAAUACCACACAGAUAAUAAAUAAAAGGAUUCCUUAAUAAGAAAAACGUUUAGAUAUUCAAACACAGACAGAAUCAAGGCGACUCCCACGUUUCCAAUCAGAAGUUAAAAAUAAGAUGUCUGUUCGAGAGUGUGAAAUCACCGAGAAAAUAACCUGAAGCAUUUUUCACGGUCUAUUCCUCAGACGUCACCCGCAACGGCAGUUUUCACUCGUCUACUGUUUUGAAGACAAGGAUAGUGACUCAUUUAUUUAACAAAUUCUUUAUUCUUU